GUAGUUGUGGCCGAGUGGUUAAGGCGAUGGACUUGAAAUCCAUUGGGGUAUUCCCAUGCAGGUUCGAGUCCUAUCAACUACG